rnacentral:lncRNA from 1 species
AAGCCAGUCCGAACCAGAAGAAAUGAUAAACGCUGAAUUAGAUCCAACCUUUGAUCCAAACUACCCUCCUCUCACCAAAUGGACCAGAGAUCAUCCUGUCUCUCAAGUUGUUGGUGAUGUAUCUGAAAAAGUUCUGACUCGAUCACAACUCAAGGCAAAACAGACUUCCUUGUUUUCAAAAGUCGAAUUCUGCAUGUUUAACUCAUUCGUAUCAAAAGUUGAACCAAAGACAGUUAACACUGCUCUUGAUCACUCCGAUUGGGUUCAAGCUAUGCAAGACGAACUGAAUGAAUUUGAAAGGAACAAAGUUUGGCGACUUAUUCCAACUCCUCCAGAUGCCUCGGUUGUUGGUCUCAAAUGGGUCUUCAGGAACAAAAUGGACAAGGAAGGGAACGUUAUAAGGAACAAAGCACGUCUGGUAGUGAAAGGAUACUGUCAGGAGGAAGGCAUUGACUAUGAAGAGACUUUCGCUCCUGUAGCUAGGCUGGAAUCAGUAAGAAUAUUUCUAGCCUAUGCUGCCCACAAAAACUUUGAGGUCUACCAAAUGGACGUCAAGUGUGCAUUUCUCAAUGGAGAACUCGAAGAAACUGUGUAUGUGGAGCAACCUCCUGGAUUCGUGAAUGAAAAGUAUCCUAAUCAUUGUUACAUUUUGGAUAAAGCCGUGUAUGGACUGAAACAAGCUCCGAGAGCCUGGUAUGAAACGCUGACUAAAUUUUUAAAGAUGUCCAAAUUCAAACAAGGUUCGGUUGACCCAACCUUCUUUCGUAAAAAGGAAGGUAACCACCUUAUGAUCGUUCAAAUUUAUGUCGAUGAUAUCAUCUUUGGCUCAACGAAUCCUAGCCUAACAGCUGAAUUCAGAAAGCUGAUGGAGACUAAAUUUGAAAUGAGCUCAAUGGGUCCUAUUAACUUUUUCCUUGGUUUAAAUAUUAGACAGGGACCCGAAGGCAUCUUUAUUAAUCAGGAAGCUUACACGAAGACUCUCCUAGCAAAAUUUGGCAUGAUGGGAGAUUCAAAAGUCAAAGUUCCAAUGGCGUUCGGCACCAAGCUCACUCCAUCCCUGGAUAAACCGGCUGUUGAUAUUACGCUUUAUCGUCAAAUGAUAGGCUCUCUAAUGUAUCUCACUGCUAGCAGGCCUGACAUAAUGUUUUCUGUUUGUUACUGUGCUAGAUUUCAGGCAAACCCACGCGAACCUCACAUGCUUGCAGUGAAGAACAUUUUACGAUAUCUCAAGCGAACUACCUCUUUAGGUCUAUGGUACCCUUCCAACUCAGGCUUCUUCGUUCAAGCCUACUCAGAUGCAGACCUUGGAGGUUGUGGACUCGACAGGAAAAGCACCACUGGCGGCUGCCAAUUCCUUGACGGGAAGUUGGUUAGCUGGCAGUCAAAGAAACAAACGUGCGUGUCUUUGUCUACAGCUGAAGCAGAAUACAUUGCAGCUGCAUCCUGUACCUCUCAAGUGAUUUGGAUCCAGAGUCAACUCCGAGACUAUGGACUCAAUAUGAAAAAGAUCCCACUAUAUUGUGACUCUGAAAGUGCAAUUAGGAUCUGUCAUAACCCAGUGCAACACUCAAAGACCAAGCACAUAGCACUGAGGUAUCACUUCAUCAAAGAUCAUGUGGAAGAUGGAAACGUUGAAGUACACUUUGUUAGAACCACUGAUCAACUGGCUGAUGUCUUUACCAAAGCUCUUCCUGAAGCGUCAUUCAACAAAAUUCUACAAGGGCUAGGUAUGACGGAAUCAGAAUCAGUACCACAAACUACCUCUGAAUCUCACAAGUAAGAAGCGAAAUAGACCGAACGUUCCGGUUCGGUUUUUGUACUCAUGUACCGAAAUGAACCGAACGCUCAGGUUUGGCUGGAUAAUCUACACUUCGCUCAUCAAUUAAAGGUGGUUUUCUUGGUUGUAAAUUUCAUGUAUAAAUGUUUCUAUUUUAUUCCUUUCUGUCAAAAGCAUUUCCUUUUUGAAAAUCUAAUUUCUUCGGUAACCGAAAUAGACCGAACGUUCGGGUUCGGUUUUCCAAAAUUUUUCCAAACCGAAACCAACCGAAGGUUCGGGUUCGGUUUUCCAAAAUUUUUCAAAACCGAAACCAACCGAACGCUCGGGUUCGGUUUUUCAAAAUUUUUCAAAACCGAAACCAACCGAACGCUCGGGUUCGGUUUUCCAAAAUUUUUCAAAACCGAAACCAAACGAACGCUCGGGUUCGGUUUUUCAAAAUUUUUCUAAACCGAAACCAACCGAACGCUCGGGUUCGGUUUUACAAAAUUAUUCUCAACUGAAAUCGACCGAACGCUCGGGUUCGGUUCCAAAGUUUUCCAAAGUUUUUUUUCAUUUUCUUCCCAAAGUUUUUUUUAUGUUUCUUUCUCAGUCUUAUUUUUCUAUUUUAUUUUUUUUAUAUAUAUUUUGUUCUACUAUCAAAAACUCCAAAAAUAUUUUUGUUCUCUAUUUACUUUUUGUCAUUCAUUUUUAUUUGUGUGUUCGUUCGUUUAUGGGGAUUUGUAGAAUUAGUUAAGUGUCGCUAGAAGCAUGCUGCUGUAUGUGCCCAAAGCCUCAUCAGAUUCUGAAUAAUAGCCUUAAUGACUUGGUAUACACAAACCUUGUCUUCCCAAUUAGGCUACCACAUUUAUUCUAAUCGUGAGCUACCUAACUCUCUUCUCACAUGAGAUAAGAGUUUUCUGCUUGGUCCUAUUUUUCACAGCAGAGGUACUUUGAUUUCUUACACCAUCUCUAUUNNNNNNNNNNNNNNNNNNNNNNNNNNNNNNNNNNNNNNNNNNNNNNNNNNNNNNNNNNNNNNNNNNNNNNNNNNNNNNNNNNNNNNNNNNNNNNNNNNNNNNNNNNNNNNNNNNNNNNNNNNNNNNNNNNNNNNNNNNNNNNNNNNNNNNNNNNNNNNNNNNNNNNNNNNNNNNNNNNNNNNNNNNNNNNNNNNNNNNNNNNNNNNNNNNNNNNNNNNNNNNNNNNNNNNNNNNNNNNNNNNNNNNNNNNNNNNNNNNNNNNNNNNNNNNNNNNNNNNNNNNNNNNNNNNNNNNNNNNNNNNNNNNNNNNNNNNNNNNNNNNNNNNNNNNNNNNNNNNNNNNNNNNNNNNNNNNNNNNNNNNNNNNNNNNNNNNNNNNNNNNNNNNNNNNNNNNNNNNNNNNNNNNNNNNNNNNNNNNNNNNNNNNNNNNNNNNNNNNNNNNNNNNNNNNNNNNUAAUUAAAAGAAGCCUUUCAACACUUCUUAAUAAGUGUUUGAUCGUUAUUCAACGGGAAACCACACUAACACUUUAAGGUCUCUCUUGACUUUGAAGGAAGAGAUUCGUGCCCGGGAUCAUUUGUUUCGUGUCUUUAUUGACAUCACAAUUAUUCCUAAAAAGAUUUGCUUUAUUUCUUUUCUUUUUACACUCUUAGCACGAAAAUCUUUAAUUUUCCAUAAUUCUGGUACUAAUAAUUACAGGCUUUUUCUUUGUAUUGGUAAUUAAUUACAAGAUGUGGUCAAAAUUAAUCCACGUGGGCGUGUUAUUCAAAAGAUGUCGUUACACAUUAAAGGGAUAAGAUGAAGAGUUGUUGACUUAGGCGGAAGAUUCAUUGAUUUGAUUUCAAACGGCGGAACAGGGAAAGCGUGCGAAUUUGAAGCGUCCAAUCUCUAAUUGGCGUCUGUAACAGCCCGGAAUUUCAGGUAUUUCUCUAAUUUAUUUUUGGGGCACAUUUAGGAGGGGACUCGGCGAGUUGGNNNNNNNNNNNNNNNNNNNNNNNNNNNNNNNNNNNNNNNNNNNNNNNNNNNNNNNNNNNNNNNNNNNNNNNNNNNNNNNNNNNNNNNNNNNNNNNNNNNNUUUAUGGACCCAAACAUCUCCGGAAUCUCUGCUCUGAUGGCUGCACCUACCUCCUCCUAGAUGAUCCGGCGGAUAUCCUCCUCACUGGUACCACUGCUCUCGGACGUGAAACGUGUCCUCACCAUGAUCUACCGCUGAAAUACGACAUACAAUAAAUUUAGAAUCCCCACGAACACACUCACACUCGUCAACUCUUUCCUCCUUGAUUCUUGGCAUUCCAAAGAUUCUUACUUGGGCUGCACCCCGCUCCGGUGCUUCCAGUAGUACGGGCCCAAUACUACUGUCCGCACCGCACCAGAAUACACUCCAAGUCCUCCUCUUCGGAUUCCAGGUCUCAAGUACUCUAUCAUGCGUAGACCACUCUCUAAUAGAUCUCUCAUAAGUCCCUCGCUGCUACCUACUCACUCUCAAGCAUCUCAUAGCAGCUCACCUCUCCCUAGGCUAAGGCAUCACAAAUCAGGCCAAUCUAGUUCUAAUAGCAAUGCCUAGCCUACUCUAGCAUGCAGAUACAUCAUAUCAAUAUUAACAUCACAUAAUGUAAGGGUAUUUUGGGAAAUCACCGUUCGGGCGCGGGCUGAUCGUACACACAUCUCUUGCUCUGCGUCUUUUCAAAAAUCUUUUAAUCUUUUGAAAAUUACAUCUCAAAUCCUCAGUUUGAGUUCAAAUACGCCCGAAGGUGUACUCGAAUCCCUCAAACCAAGGCUCUGAUACCAUAUUGUAACACCAAGAAUUUAAAAACAAUUUUUCGCAUUUUAUAAAGGCAAAAUUCAUUUAAUAUUCAUAAAAACAUCAUUGUUUGUAAUUCAUUUCAUAACAUAUAAAAACCCCAAGAUCACAUAAUAUAAAAUCCCGCGUGUGUGCACUGAUCAGGCCGGCGCCUUCCCGCGAUCCUCACUAGUACCUGAAACAAAUAACACCAACACUGUAAGCAUAAAGCUUAGUGAGUUCCCCAAAAUACCACAUAACACAUAUUAGCCACUCGAGGCUAUAACUCUGUGGGUCCGUGCACCCAUACUCUGUGAACCCUCAGGUUCUAACUCUGUAAACAAGCAUAGCAUAAAUCACAUAGAAGAAUGCAGUGCAACACAUAACAUACAUAGCAUACAAAUACUCUAUCAUAUAACUCUGGUUACCUACUCAAGGUAAAGUAUAGUGAGAAGACUCACCUCGCGUGUCUCGAUAUCUCACAACCCUGGGAAUCCCUCGUGCCCGAUUCUCCGAGCUCUAAUCCUCCUAUAACAUCAUAUGUCCCUAGUUAACACUUUAUAUCUCUAAUGUUGACUAUCCCUAAGAAGUCAACACAGGUCCACUCUGGUCAACGGUCAACGGUCAACUUUGACCGGACUCGGCGAGCGCUAGGGCGACUCGGCGAGUCUAGACGUUCUCACCAAUUCUCUAAGAUUCCCUUUCUACACGUCGAGUAUCCCCCCUGACUCGACGAGUUCCUCCUGGAAGAAUCGCGGGGCCACCCCGACUCAACUCGCCGAGUCUGAAGAACAACUCGGCGAGUCCCAGUUCGACUCAGACCACCUGUUAACCCUCUCUAACUCGCCCUGACUCACCGAUCCAACCCAUAACCCGGACAGGACCAUUCUAAGGCAAUCUUCAAGCUACUCGCCGAGUCUGUUCAUCGGACUCGGCGAGUCCAUGCCAUGCAACCGCUCAAACUGCUUUCUAAGGUCAGAUCUGCUCCGGCAAUUCAUAGGUCUGGCCUUCCUAGACUGGUUCAUCACGUAAAGUCCUUAUUUCGGUGCUCAUAAUACACCCCAUGACUCAUAAUUGACGUUUUGACCUAAGGCAUAAGGAUUCCAAUCCAAAACCUCCAUUGAUUCCCGAAAAGCUCAGGCAUGGGACACUCUGGACUUCCAAGGGUCCCAAUAUAGGGUUCCAAUCGCUUGGGGGACUAAGGAAACACUCAAUCUAGCCACAAAAGGGUUCAAUAAACCCUAAAUCCAUAUACACAUCAACAUAGAAGGGAACAACUCGAAAAUAUUACCUGAAUAACGUUGCUCUGUGUCCCCAACUAUCAGAAUAUAGCUUCUCCUGUUGUUCCCUUAACCAAGCCUCCUCUUCAUUUCAAAAUAACACUUCCAAGAUCAAUAAUGGUCUUUUACCUUGCUCCAGAUGCUCACAAUAGAAUUAGGGUUUCACUCAAAGGGCUGGGGUGAACAAUGACGGCCUUAAGGCCCCUUAUAUAUGUCCCAAACCUGGAAAGUUAGGGUUUCGCUAAACAGCGUGGACUCGCCGAGUCCAUAUCCGGACUCGCCGAGUCCAGUCGCGAACCCGCGACCAGUUCCGCGAUCCUACUCGGCGAGUCUGAGCUCCAACUCUCCGAGUCCCCUCUUAAAACACCCAAAAUCAUAAAUAUAACACUACCUGGAAUUCCGGGCUGUUACAGCUAAAGUCCAUUCACGAUGCCGUUAAGCCUGCUCUGAGAGGCAAAAAGGCAGAUAAGGGCAAACAAGUGGCGAAAGGGGCUAAAGGCCCUUCUCCUAGGAAGAGGAAAUCAAUGAAAGCUGCUCAGUCCCCGCAGCAGAAGAGGCGAAAGACUCAACCCAAGGGAAAGCUCAUUAUCGCUUCCUCUUCAAGCGAGCCGGAAGGUGAGAGUUCAGAUUCGGACGACUCUCCGAGAGGCAACACACCUCCAAGAGGCAAUACCCCACCCAGAUCACCUACUCCUGAAAUGGAAAUCCAUACCUCUCCAAUUCCCUCUCCUACUCCAACAGUUCCUACUUCCAUUCCCACCAUAAACCCCUUUACUCACAUACCAAAAACCUCAUUCCCAAUGCCACCACCCAUCUUCAUAGAUGCUACAAUAACAUCCACAGCAAAGGUUACAACCAACGUAUCUGAUACGGGGGUUCAUACCGAUGCAACCGAACCACCACCAGCAACCGAACCCAUACAUACAACCAAACCUACACCUACUCAAACACCACCCGAACCUACCCCUACCCAAGCUCAACCCGAACCCACCCAUACCACUACACCCCCAGCUUCACCACCACCACCAUCUCCCGGUCAUGCCUCUGACGGAGAUAACCCUUUCCUUGGCGGGGAAAAUAUGACAUUUGAUUCGGUCUAUUACAGUCCGUUUCAAGUGCAAAGCGACGAUAAUGAGGAUGCUCCGAUAACAAAGAAGCACCUUAAGGAGCUACAUGAGAAGAUCGACUUGCUCAUUGCUUCUUCCUCCAACUCUCAAUCCUCUCUCUCUGAAGCUGCUCUUCAGAAGAUUGUUGAUGCCUUCUCUAGGGCUCAGCAAGAUUCAGUCGCUUCUGCCACCGCUGCCAUAGACGCCUCGACGAAAGCUUGUGAGGCUGCGACCGAAAAAGUCGAUAAACUAUUCUCUGACGCCUCUUCCCUGUUACAAUCUUUAGAGGAGAGUGCCAUUGCUACCAAGACAACGUUGGAACCUAUUGCUCAACAGUUGGCCACGUUCGUCUCUACAGAGAUGAAGUCAUUUGCCACCCUUCGUCAAUCUCUGACUGACGACAACUCUGCCUUCCGUGCAUCCAUUGAUGAGCACCUCUCUAAACUCCAUGAGGAUCUGGCCGCUGAGAACACGUUGAUGGACGUUCUUGCAAGGAAGACCACCGCCUUAAAGGUCAAGAGUGCUCAACUUUUCAAUUCUCAACAACAAAUUGACGUUCUUCGAUCCGAACGGGAGGUCAUCAAGACGCGUGUUUCGGAUGUACACUCUGCUAUAUCCAACAUUCUCGAAGCGCACAAUCCGAUCCUGAACCAUUCUAUGAGGCGUACCCUUGCAGAGAAACUCGCUCCUGCCAUGGAUUUGCUCAGUAAAAUAGAAGGUCUACCUAGUUUCGUGUCCACUCCAAAACAAGGGGGAGAAAAGGAGUCCGGAUCGCAACCACCUCAUUCCUCAAAGGCAACUCACACAACCGAACCUCCUCCUACAGGCCAAGCCUCUGGUUCGGGUGUGAAGGACAAAGGCAAGAAACUUGCUGAGGAUGAAGAGGAAGAUGAUCAAGAAACCAUUGCCGACUUGCUGAAACGCAAAAGUCGUCGCAAUGUUGAAGAUGAUAAUGUUCGUGUGGCGAGAGAAGCUGAAGAAGCUGAACGCAAACAGAAAGAAGCCCACGACCUUCUCGAGAGCAGGAAGACUCUUUUCCCUGCUUGGACUCUCGAGAGGAUGAUAAAGGAGGCAAUCGAUACUCCGAGUAUCUUAUGGCUUGAACCGGUAAUCUCCUUUGACUGCUACAACUCCGUCGACUCUCAGUUCGACAUGCCCUUAACCCGAAAGGCGUUCAUCUUUCACGCCUUCGCCAACGUUGCUGAGUUCCCUCAUCCUCAUCCGGAGGUUGAUCGGGAAUUGAUUGAGUUCUAUCUGAAGGCCGCUCAACCCCAGUACCAAACCUGGAGCGCUCAGAAGAUCAUCAACGUUCGGGUUCUGAAGCCAUAUACUGAAGGGAGAUUUAUCAACGUUCGGUUCAAAGUGCUCAGAGGGUCUGCAAAAACCGAACAUGCCAUAUCCUUAGCAGAUCUACCGAACCUCAACCCCCAUGACUGGAUCGUUCUGCACAACAUCCUAUUGACUAAUGAGGCUGAAUAUGGUCCGAUCAUUGACCAUCUCAAAAGGAUGUUGGUGUGCUAUAUCAUUGAGGUAGCCCUGAUGGAUUAGGAGAUUGCAUCUGUCUUCAAGAAGAAACCGAAGAUCUCUCCUGUUGGCUCGGCCAUUGAUCUGAACCAGAUGAAGAUGGGAAAAAUUGAACCAAGGCGAAACUCCGUCAUGUUCACUAGGAGUGAAGGACAGAAAUGUCUCUUUGCCUUAGCUGAUAAACAUCUUUAUACCACUGCUUGUCUGGAGCAUGUGCUGGGGAUCAUCCACAGGUGCAAAGAAAAUACAGCGGAUGAUAUCAAAUAUUUUGACGAUAUGAUACAGUGGUACAUCCGAUUCAGACAGACAAUCCUCGCACUCAUCUCUCGUCUGUUUAAGACUGUAAUGAACAAGGUUCCUACUGCCGCUGGCCCAAGUAAGAAGACAAAGUGAUCUCGCUCUAAUUGACGCAAAGGGGGAGAUUGUUGGGUAGUGUAGGUUUAUUGUAUAUUGCGUCUAUUGGGCUCGGUUAAUAGUCCAUGUUUUGUACUUCGGUUUGGGCCUGUCCAACCGUGAGCUUGUAGGGUUUAGUAUAUAAUAAUGUGCUUGCAUGCAUAUUAGGUUAACGAUCGAUUUGAUAGAGUAACGAUUGAUAACUUUACAGUUUUUCCUUCAUCGUUCUUGUAAACCCUAAAUCCUCUACAGUAGAAGUUCUUUAUCGAGCUCUACUGAGGAUUGUUUUAUAAUCAUUCGACAUCUUUGAUACAUUCUUGUGUUCUUGCUGUUUACUCGUUUAUUACUUUACCUGUUUUAUAGAUCUAAUCGAUCUUCAAGUUAGUUUUUAACUUAUCAAUCUUUAAGGGCAUUAACCCUAUGAUGAUCAGGUUUAGAAUAUGGUUUUGAUUUAUAGGGUCUAUGGGCCGAGGAAUUGACCUUUUUAUUGGGAUGAUCCUAUGAAGUUGGUGGGUUGCUCCGUAUUUGAAUCUCCUUGUCUUCUUUGAGCCUGAUUAAUCUUAGUGCUCUGCUUCUGACUUCGUCCAUCCUCCUGCAUGGACUCAAUACAAGGUCUUCAUAGAAAGGUGAAUCUUACUUUAAGCACGUCUUAAAGCCUUCAAUUGUAGUUGCCAUGUCGAUGUUGGGGAUAGUUAGGGUUUCCUAGUCAAACUUGUUCACAAAGUCCUAAGGGAUUCCUUAGGAUCAUGUACCACCUAAUAGAGAUCACUAGUGAUCUUUUCGAAUGUUCUGCUACAGGAACAUUGGUUGUUAAAUAAAUUAAUUAAAAGAGAAAAUGAUGUAAUAAAAUAGGGAGGAGCAUUAAGAAGCUGUUUUAAAACAGAUCCUGUGAGGGUCGAACCAAAACCCUUGCACAUGCAAGCUUCUUUCAAGUGAUGUGGAAUGGGAAUGAUCUCCAUCCUUUCCCUAUAUUGUGCCUCAUGCUCCUUAAUAUCUGUUGUCCCGUCGUAAGGCUUCAUGUUGGGGGUCUAAAAGCUCUUUGGGACUUCGGUAUCAGCUAUCGUUGGAAUGAAUCUGGAGAUCCUAUGGCUUGUAGGGGAUACUUCUGGUACAGGCUAAACUACUCUCAGUACGUUCGAGAUCAUUUGUCAAAAUUGUUGGAGCUCCUUAGCCAUGAUUAGGCUUAAACCUGUAUCAAGAUCCGUUCGGUUAGCAGUAAGGAUAUUGUUACUGUCAAGGUUACCAGGAUCCUUGUUAUUGGGACCAACAAAGGUUUUAGUGAGAUCCUAGGUCGUAUGGGCUUUCUCUCUCAGAUUCGUGCCCCAAGCGGGAAUAUAGGCCGGUGUUUAGGAUCCUAUCUCAUGGCAAAUCGCUAAGGAUCAUGUGUUGUCGAUGUUUAGGAUCUUGGACUGCAAGAUCGAGGGUGCUGCUUCCUAAGGUUUGUGGAUUUUUUUUAUCAUUCUCUCUACUUCCUUGAGAAUUGUCUUCUUACCCUCCUGUUGUUGGGCGACUUGUCAUUCCUGUCUCUUCAUCAUAGGAAAAUUUUCAUCGUUGGAAAUCGGCAGAGGAGGAUCCUAGGGUAACGACCAGAGAAGUGUUUUCUUUGGUGUUUCCGAGGCUUUCUUGGGAGUUCCGGCAGGAGGUGGUGGAAGGUUUUUGGAGGAAAUAGGAGGAAUUGUGGAAGAGGACAGGUUUGAUUGAGUACACAUGAUUUUUCAAAGGAUUUUAAACGACACGGCUCCAUGGUGUGCGCCAAAUUGUUUUGGUGAAAAAAUGAACAAGCAAGAAUCGACCAAAGUGUCUGAGAGGCUGUGAUGUUUAGAAUAAUGCAAGUAUAAAAUGUUGAUCAAAGUGACACAAGUUGUUUACAAGGAAACACCUUGAUCCUUGUUAGGAUCACCGACAUAAAAGCUUUGGAGGUGAUAACGAACACCUGCAUUGAUAACUUUAUUGAUUGAAGAACUCAAUUACAGAGAAAAUGUAAAGAAUAUAAGUACAAGUGUUGUUGUUUUUCUAUGUGUCGUGUGUCGUGUGAUGAAUACAAGUGUUUUUUAUAGUCUAAUGCUAAUAACAAGAACUCCGACAAUUCCAGGACCCUUCGAGAUCAACUUAUAUACAUUACUUGACUUGGUCUUCCGUGUCUUUUGCAUGCUCACAAUGAUUAUUCUUGAUAAUAAGUCUUUGGAUGAUUAUUUUUGCACAUGUGAGAAGAAUAACAAAUCGUAUUACUAGCAUACAAGUUAGGAGAAUACACGAUAAUAGUCAGGAUCCUGAAGUAUUCUUGAGGAUCCAUAAUGUAAUUCCAGGAUCAUGGCCCUAACACUAGUGAUGAUUGACUACUUCUCAAAAUGGAUAGAAUCUGAAGCUUUCGUCUAGGUAAGAGAGAAAAAUGUAGUUUACUUCAUCAAACAUAAUAUUUUGACCAGGUUCGGGAUCCCUGCCGAAAUUAUAUGCAACAAUGGAUCCUAGUUCAUAAGCAAAAGGACAAGAAAAUUUACACAAGUUGGGAAUCAAAAUGGUAAUGUCCACUCCUAUCCAUCCUCAAGCAAACGCUUAAACAUAGUCCAGCAACAAAAUCAUAGUCAACAACUUGAGGAAAAGGAUGGAUUAGAAGAAAAGAAGAUGGGAGAAGGGCUUCCUUUCGUAUUAUGGGGAGAUAGGACCACUUCUAAGGUAGCAACGAGCCAACCCCCAUACUCCAUAGUGUUUGGAACGGAAGCACUAAUUGCCACUGAAGUGGUGAUCCCAACAGCAAGAUACCUACUUCAAAACCAAGAGAGCAAUGAUAGGCUCCUGGCCUUCGAUCUCGAUACUAUAGACGAACUCAGGGAUCUUGCCAAACAGGAGACUUGCUACUAAGGAAAAUUUUCCAAAAUACCAAGGAUCUUAAUGUAGGUAAACUGGCAGUUAAAUAGGAAGGACCAUAUCUCAUAGAUGUCGAAGCAGGAAAGAAGGCAUAUUGGUUGGCUACCCUCGAUGGAAAUAUCCUGCCGAGAUCCUAGAAUGUCAUAGAUCUUAAAGUUUAUUUCAUGUAAGUAAUACUAGUCAUUUUCCAACACACUCAAUGUAUGCCUUUAUCCUCUAUUUUUAUUACUAUUUAUUCUCUUCAAAUACCAUUAGUAACUUAUGCAUUGGAGGGCAUUUAGCUAUGCUAACACCCACCCCAAUGUAAUGUUUGUUGUGCAUAAGGACUCAGGGAUCUUGGCACAUGAGGAUCCUGACACACAAGGAUCCUAACACAUAAGGAUCUUGACACAUGAAAAUUCAAGGAUCCUGGCAUACAAGGACGUUGACUUUUGAGGACUCUGUCACCUAAUAGUCCUAUAGCUAUGGAAAUUGCAAUACACUAGUAUCCUAACAACUAAGAAUAGAGAUUGAUCAUCUCUCCUAAGAAUAAGGGUACUUAAUCCCCUCUAAGGUUUAAAGAGUUAAUUACCUCUUUCAUAUGAGAUAAGGUCUCUAUACCUCGCUUGGAAGCACGUUAUCUAACUAUGGGAUGUGAAUAAGGGGAUCAUUUCAAGCUAAAGUGACUUCGCAACCCUCUUAUUUCUGAACAUAAGUUAGGAUCCUAAAGUUAAAAUCUAAGGUUUAUAAUAUUUUCAUGUUAUCUCAAGUUGGGAUCUACACCAGAUAAUAGACAAGGUUUAUAAUAUUUUCAUUUUAUCUCAAGUUGGGUUCCCCCCAGAUAAUACACAAGGUUUAUAACAUUUUCAUGUUAUCUGAAGUUGGGAUCCUCCCCAAAUAAUACACAAGGUUUAUAACAUUUUCAUGUUAUCUCAAGUUGGAAUCUUCCCUAGAAAAUAAAUAAAAUUUAUAACAUUUUUAUGUGAUCAUAUGAUUUGGGAUCCUCCCCAUAAAUUACCAAGUUUGGAAUUUUGCCAAGGUUUUUCAAGAGUUAGGAUACCAACGUAUUGCUUGGAGAUGGGAUACUCCCCGGAAAAUAUGUACAAUUUGUAGGAUUAUAAUGUUGCAAAAGUCCUUUCAGUCAUUUUCCAAGUUAGAAUCAUUACCAUUCGAAUCCUUAUAGUUCUCUUUAUUAAAUCAAGGAUCCUCCUUGAUGGCUAAGGAUCCUUCCAUGAACGAACCCUAGGAUACUGUAGAGUGAAAAGAAAUGAAACUUUAAGAUUCUAGUGAAAGUAGUUCACAAAGGUUACAAAAUCCAAAGAUAAUCAGGUUCUAUCUAUCCUUAUUGUUACUAGUAUUUCUUAUCAAAGAAUUAUCCUAAAUAGAUCUCAACUAUUUUGGGAUCCUAAAUGGGCUACUAACUGUUUCAGGUUAAUAGGAUCCUGAGGGUUCUUGUAAACCCUUGACUACUUAGGAUCCUGAUUGUAAAAAUCCAUCAAAAUUCUACUACUACAACCACACAAUCAAGAAUGCAAAGAAAUAUUAAACACAAUUGUAGCAUUAAAAGGGUUAUCUUUCAACCCCAUAAAAGAACAGAACAUUAAACUAUCUUACAUCCUUUAAAACCAAAAACUACUGAAUCUACUCCUUUGUAGCUUUUACAUUAGACUGGACAUCAUCGCAUGGGAUUUCCUCCUUCUUGCCCACCUUUGGCCGCUGCCUUUCCGGAUCCUGACCAGUCUUAUCAAAUUCGCCAUUUAAUUAGGCAUAAGCGGCACGUCACCCUGUCAGGUCCUAAGAUCCACCAUUAGCAGCUUCUUUGGUCAGUUUGAUCUUGGCUUCCCAGACGGCAACAGCGGCACUGGCCUUUGCCUCGGCGAUCACUUCCUCCAUCCCCACGAUAUGUUCCUCUUCCUUUUCGACCUUCUCCUUGUUCAAGAGCUCCAUCCUUUUUAGGAGAUCCUCGUUGAUUGGUCUCUACAUUUUUCUCUUGCUUUUUGAGGACUUGCUCAGCUGUUUCAGCACAAACCCUCAACUCAGCAGAGACACGGUCAGAAGCCUAAAACAAGAAAGAUAUAAGAUGUAGAAAAGAAUAAAAAUAUAAAGUGACGGGGGAUAUUUAUGCUUACAGUCUGAGAAAAGGAAACCAAUUUUUGGAGCGUAUCUUCCGCUCCAAGAAUCUCCAAGAUCAAUUCAAUGGAACUUGUAUUCAUUCCUUUCUUAGAUACCGAAGUUUUCAUGGCCAGAUGUAUGGGGGGGAUAUCAUGAUAGGGGCAAAGUCUUCUCUUUCUUCAUCGUCAACUGACCACUGGACAUCAGUGUAUCCAAGUCAGCAAGGGUAAAAUGGGCGCCUGAACCAGUACUUGUGGAUCCUAGACAAAACAAUAAAAAGUCAAGACCCCUUAUGCGAUAUAGAAGAAGAAUUUAGGAUCCUUACCUUUCGACAUGGAGACAGUGGUAGAUGAGCACUCUUGAAGAUUGGAUCCGAUUAGCUUGAAUUACCUCUCAAAUUCAGACAUAAUGGAAAAGAGUUGCAUCUUCUUCUCUAUGUCUUCAGCAGGAGGAACCAAGAUGUUGAACAUAAAUGUUGCAAAACGUCGGAAAAGAUAAGAAAAGUGAACAUUUAAAUCCUCAAUGUAGAAACAUGAAGUCAUACCCUUUCUAACCGAAUAUUGAGGUAAGAGAUCCCGAUCAGGAAUGGAGUCAUGUCUUAUGAAGAAAUACUUCCAUUUCCAAGCACCAUCAUUGUGCUUUGAUUUCAACAAAAGGGGAAACCUAUCUGCUUUGACCUUCAAUAGAAAGCAGGAAUUCCUAAAAGUUAUAAGAUCGUAUACAUAGGCUAGAUCAUUUAGACUGACAGAAAGAUCCUUGGAACGAUUCAAGUGAUCAAUCCAAUAGAGGAUCCCCUAAAGUCACAAGAAACUUCAUAAGGACCAUUAAUGAUUGAAUUUCAACAAAGAUGUCACUAAUGUAUCUCUUUCAGCCACAUUUUGUUCAUUGCAAUUUAACCAACCACAACAUACUCUAUGUUUGGAAAAUCCACUAUGGUGUAAUACUUGGUACUCUUCCAAGCUAAAACUUCACCAUUCAGAAAAUCACGAAAUCCGACUGCAAACGGAAACGUCUUUAUUAGUAUGGAACUUAGCAUCAAUGUAACUCUUACAAUGAUCUAUUCCAUAAUUUCAAGAUCAUAUCUUAUGCCCUCUAAGGACACUUAAGAAUGUUCUUGAUCUUGAUUCAUUGAUUCUUGCCAAAAUUGAACUAAUCCAACUUGUGCUGCACGAGGUAUACAAGUCAUUAGAUGUGGUACAUGUCAUGGCAUGUAUGAUCGAUCUCAUAGCAGAAGCAUGUGGGACACAAAUCAUUUGCUUUAGCUCAAUAGUAGAACCAGGACACUGGCAUUGCUCAAUGUCAUGCCAUAUUGUAAUAAGUCUAAACUACUUUUCGAGUUUCCUCAACAUUCCAUGUACUUUGGCUUAAUCCAAUGAAUCACUUUGAUCUAUCUCCAUAGAUCCUUAUUAUGCAUGUAUCUUGUAUCUCCCAUGUAUAUCACAGCGAAAAAGUUCUCAUACCAAGCCAAGCUUUUACACCUACCAAGUUAGAAAUACAGUUUCCUAUAAAUCGUACAUUGUCUAUGUACAAUAAAAGGGUGACUACAGUUCUCCCACUAGCACUGACAUAUAUAUGGCGUAUCUAUGUUUCUCUAAAUUCAAACUCCUUGAACUUUUCUCAUUUAAACAAAGAUUCCAAUUACACCCACUAGCUUUGACAUAUAUAUAUAUAUAUAUANAUAUAUAUAUAUAUAUAUAUAUAUAUAUGGCUUAUCUUUAUUUCUUGAAAUUCAAACUCCUUGAAAUUUCUCAUUGAAAUAAUGAUUCCACUUGCGAGAUGCUUAUUUCGGUCCAUAAAUGAACUUAUUAAGCUUACACAUCCUUCAAAACCUAUAUUGGUUUAAUUAUGCGUUUGUUCCUAUCCAUGAUCGUCUCUACUUGAAGAUCCACUUGUACCUAAGGGUUAAGGUCAAGUGCUAGGUCUACCAAAUAACAACAUACAUGGAUUGAAUCUCGCUUUCCAAUUCCUCUUUCUAUGUUGUUGCCUUUAGGGCCUACCAUAGAUUCCGAUAGCUGGUACACUCUGAUUGCUAUCUACCAGUGACUCAAAUACCUUAGCAAUAUAAGCUCUUAUAUAACUAGGUCCAUGACGUCUUCUAUCAUAUCUAUAAGGAAAAAUGGAAAUAUGUUAGUUUCCUUAAUAGCUCUUUCAAUUCCAAAUUGAAUGUUAUGUCCAACUUUAGGCUCUUCGUUGGUUGACUCUUGAAUCUUAUCAAGAUCAAUAUGGCUCCCACUAGCCCUUUUGGAAAUCAGCUCCCUCUCUUGGAAGAGUGCCCUUUGAGCGACAUACACUUUGUUCUCAGAAGGUUGUAAAACAAUUAUCCAAAAUGCUUGAUGGGCUCUCCAACAAAAUAACACAUCUUUAAUCAAAGUUCUAGAUUGUCAAGCGCUUCACGAUGGACGUAAGCCUCAUAAUCAUAGAAUUCCAAGUAUGGAAGUGAGUAUAGAAUCCCACUUCACAUAUCAUUGAGUGUUUAAGGAACCUACUUAGUUGGCACAAGACCAAAGGACUUCCUGUAACACUAUUCAUGAUACAAUCCAUGAAUUGAUAGUAUGCAUAAUACGACUCAUCUAGUAAAAAAUCAAUGAAUGAUUUGUUCUCUAUCCAACUAACACUUCCUAGUGGCAGUGUUUUGGGGGGAGGCAGAUCGUGAAACUCUUUCACAAUUACUUAGAUGAUCGAUAAAUCUUUGGACUGAGAUUCUUACUAUGAGUGUCUCAUCCUGUUUCCCAAUUGAUUCUUAACUUCGCUAUAUGAGAGCUCUGAACACCUGAGAGGUUACAGACACACAUUCAUAUGAAGUUGGUCUCACUAUGUAUCGUGGUUAAUCUGAACGGUCCAUUAGUGUCAACUAAUUCCAACAGAUACUCACAUCACCCAGUGACGCAUUUAUCAUCUAUCUUGAUAAACAAGAUUUGCAUUUAUCAUAAGACUCGAGGUCAAAUGAUAUCCAAAAUCUGAUCUAACUAGAUACUUGGUAAUGAUUCCACAAACACAUAUCACCCAAACAUUUGGAUGUAUUUGAAUAAGUACUUAUUAUGGUCAAUCUGAACGAUCCAUUAGUUGAAAUAACAUCAACAGAUAUUCACAAUAAUACACCUUAUUCAAAUGUUCGAAUCAAUUUUGAACUGUUGCUACUAUACUAGCUUCAUAGAUUUCAUGACUUGCUUUUAACAUCUCAGAAUGCUCCACAUUUAAAUAAGUCAGAACUAUCUCAUGAAUCAUAGUAUAAACAAGUUCAAUUAUAAUACCAUAGAGUAAACAUUUUGAAAAGAGUUGUCGUUUGAUCCUAUGAAUGUAGCAAUGGCUUAGCAUUCAUGAUCAAAUUAUCUUCUCCAUGUUUUAGUCUUCUUACUUCAUUUUAGUGACUGCACAUUCUUGCAAAUGUCAGCACUAAUCCUUAGCAACACACUCAAGGUUUAGAAGCAAUGUUUUGAUGGCAUUAUAAAUCCAUAUAUUUGUUUGAAUAACAAACAUGGAAAAACUAGUUAUAUUUUGAUCCAAAGUAAAGUAGCAGGGGCUCGUUAUCCAUGAUCAAAUUUAACUUCUUCAUGUUCUAGUCCUCUCACGUCAAAUAUAUAUUUGGGCAAGUUUGAUUUCUUAUUCCUUUUCUUGUUACGGAAACAUGCAGCUAUUAGAACAUGUGUUAGAAUAAGCCUUCCUUUGUCCUAGGUAUUAGGGCCUAAAUUAGGUAUACCCACACUAAUCACCUUUUAAACCGUGGGCAAUUGGCUUUCUUCGUCUUGACACUUCUAUUCAUGAUAGUAAACUAUGGGAGUGUUUUGAAGUAUGAGUUUCUAUGAUUGGCCACCCUAGUUCCAAAAGGAAACCUCAACAUGCUACACAACUCCUUAAUAGACAUUCCAAGUUAUUCAUAUCAAAAUCAGAAUGAACUGAUCAUAUGUACAUUUUAGCUAGUCGACAAACCAUAGUGAACUCCUAAAUUAAGGAAAUUCCAUUUUACUUCAAUAUGUCAAUUUACAAGGUGCAUUUGAUAAUUUCUCUUUCUAACAAUUUAGAAUGCAAUGUUUCAAGUAACCUAGGAAGAGUAAAGGUGUGAUCUUUCCUUUCGUUUAUGAGAACUAUGCCCAAACUAUGAAUUUGACGAGAUUGAUCAUCCUCAUAGCUAAUCCUCUCAAAGGUUUAUAGCAGUAGAUUUUAGUGGAUAAGGUUUUCGACAUCAUUCAAUGAAAUUGCAUUAUAGUUUGUUUUACUUAUCCUUAGAAAAUAAUCACCCUAAAUUAUUUUAGAAGGCUAGGAUCCAUAUUUGGCUCCAUGAUGUGUAAAGGGAUGUCGUAAACACACCAUAAAGUUAUUUAGGUAGGCAAUGCCCUUUGCCAAUUUCGAUCACCACGAAAUUCCUAAAUCUUUGAGAUUCAAUGACUAUCAAUGGCAUGUUAGUCUCGGAUUAUGUUCAUCUCAAUUCAAUGACGGGGUCGCCGCGGAUCACUAAACAGAUGGUGAAUCGACCAUACAAAAUCGCAUGGUCCCCGGCUCAAGUUUCGCUUGAGAUUCGUGAGUUCCACAUCAUUCUCUACCUAUACUCUCAAAUUGACGUGUCGGUUAACCACGCGAGCUCCAUCAACAGGUUAUAAAGAGAAUGUGAAACUUUUAUGGAUAACAUCAGAUUCACAUUAAAUAGAUUAAGAAUUAACCUUGCAAAAUCGCAUGCUCCUCGGCUCAUGUUAUGCUUGAGAUUCGCGAUAUCCAUAUCAUUCUCGAAUAUGUUCUAGAUUGAUGUGCCGGUUAACCACAUGAGCUCCACCAACAGUAUAAAGAGAAUGUGCAAUUUUCAAGGAUAAUAUAAACUCACAUUCUAUUAAUCAAACGGGAUUUUAUUUUAUACUUGUAUUUAGAAUACUUUUAGAUUGACCUUUAUCACUAUCAAACCCUUUCGGUAACUUCAUUCUCAAAAUGUAAUAGGGCGGUGAGAGUGGUAAGCGCGAAGCAUAUUAAAAACCAACCUCAUUAGGAAUCCAAGAGACCUCCUUAAACCCUUACAUUAGAACGGGUGAGCCUAGUCGAGGUAAGACUGACAAUGUCAAUGUUUAAACACGUGAGGGCGCAUGUUGUAACUUUCUUAUAAAUAUAGUAGACACAAUUCUCAUAUACAUAAAUAGAAGGGGUAAAUUUAAAACACUUUAAAUUUAGUUGUCUAUUGUUAAUUCAAAUUAAUUGCGAGGACGCAAUGGAACAAUUAAUAAAUCAUGAGGGGUUAAUAUUCAAAUUUAUAAACCUCUAUUACCAAUAAUAUUAAAUAUUUAAAUUCACUAUUUAAAUAAUAGAUAAAUAUCCAAAAUAAAUUAAUCAAAUAAAUAUUCAAAUUCAAAUAAACAUAUUUAGAUAAUAUUUACUCAUUAUCAAAUAAAUAUUCAAAUUCAAAUAAACACAUUUAAAUAAUAUUUAUCCAUUAUCAAAUAAAUACUAAAAUUUAAAUAAAUAUGUUUAAAUAAUCAUAAUCAAUUUUCCAGAUUUAAAACAUUUUAAACUUGGUAUUUAUCCAUAUUUAAUAAACCUUCGUAUUUGAAAAAUGGAAAAAAUCCAAAAACCCUAAUUCUGCUGAGCUCACGUCGUGGCCUCCUUGUUCACGUCGUGAGCUACGACUAGGGUUUUUAUCAAUUAAGAAUUUUUCAUCUAAUCUUCUUCCAUUCAGUUUCAAACAAGUUUUUAUAGAAAACAUGGGUCUAUAGUGAAAGUAACCAUGAACCAAUGGCUCUGAUACCACUGCAGGGUUUUCUAAGCUUCAAAUACACUCUAAAACUAGGCAACGGGAAAAUCGAAACAACGAUAUACUUGAGUUCUUGAACCUCCAUGAAGCCCUUGAUCUCCAUGCUAAAUACUUCAAUCCUAGAAAACUAAAACAUAAGUAAGAAAAUAUACCUCUUAUGUAGCCCUUGAUCUCCAUGCUUGAGUUCUUGAACCUCCAUGAAGUUGCUUGGAUGAAAGGACCCAAACUAGAAUCCCUCUAAUGGUAUCACACCCGAUGACACCAAAGAGUGGAAUAAAAAUAACUAGGAGAAGAGUCAAUUUCACAAACCCAAAUGGGUUACGAAUCGUCCCUUAAGAGUGGAGGGAGAAGGGUUGGCGAAACUUCAAGCCAAGGUGCAAGGAAGAAUGAAAUCCCUAAGGCCCUAUUGGUAGCCUUGGAUGCCUCCUAGGGUUUAGUACUCCUUACCAUGUGGGAUGGAGUCCUAACCAUGAAAUUUCACUCCUUUCCCAUGUGGGAUGGAGUGAUUUUCAUCCAAUCCUAAUUCUAUAAGGUUUUGGAACAUUCCUGAUUAACCAACUAUCGAUUAAUGAACAUUCAACCUUUUAAUUAAUUAAACUGCUAAUUAAUUCCCAAAAUAUAUUUCCAAAAAGUUUUCUAACUAUUUAUUAACCAUAAUAAUUAAUAAACUAAUUUCUCCUUUAUUUAUUCUACUCAAUUUGGGUCUUGAGGGCAACCCAAAAGGACCCUACUAUUAUUAGAAAUAUUACCAAUAGUUAAUGACCUUGGACACUAUUCCAACAUUAGGUUGGGUCACACCUUGGCCAGUAGGUCAUGGUCAAAGUUGUGGUCAAUGAAAGUCAAGAACCAUCAGUGAAGAAAGUGGUUUAUCAUGAUGCAAUGAAAUGGCUAGUGUUGGACAUGUGGUGAUAAGUUGAGACACGUGUCAGUAGGAGAUGACACAUAGAAACAUGACGUUGCAUAACUACGACACAUCAUGAUUACUCAAUUAUCCCAUGUAUAUAAAUAUGGUCUUGUUGUUCAUUUGAUGAGUUUUGAAAAGUCAAUUCAGAUAACAACUAGAUAGAUAUUAAUUCUUGGGAUUAUGAUCGAAGAGUCGAUGCUAAAAUGUGAGGGUAUGAUCUGUCGAUUGGCCCAAGGUAUCCAUUUUGUUGUAUUAUUAUGUUUUCUUGCGUUUAGUGUAAUUACUAUAAGUUUUUAGAACCCGGGUUAGAUGUUAGAAGUCAUAAUAUGGUGCUCUAUAAACUCUGUUGUAGCCUAGAAGGUGAAUUCCACGGACCGGACAAUAUGGGUUGUAAACCCUAACUUGUGGAAUUAUUUGAAUUAUGAGCUUAGCGAAUAACUUGCAAGGUUAAGUUAGUAAAUAGAUGUAUCAUGAGUUUUGAUGAGUUUUGAUGAGAAAGACCAACCCAUUGAAGGCUUUUGAUGAGUUUACGGCCCUAAGGAGUUUAAGGACGUAAAAUCAUACUCAUUUAUGUAUUUGAGUGAAGUUUAAGGUCCUUCAAUCAAUAAGGAAGGGUUGUGGCUCACUAGCUUUGCAUCUUAUAGGGUUUAUGGUUCAUACGUGCUUCAACAUUGAGUUUAUGGCCAAGGGAGAUCUUGGGAUGUAAACUCAUGAUGUUCUUGGGAAAGUGGAUGUUUAAAGUCUCUAAGCAUGGAUACUAACUAGAUAAGAAGUAUAGGGAAGAUUACUUACGAUCUAGAAGCUUGAAAUGGUCGAUUUUGGCCAAGAACACUAGUGUGUGUUCUUGGUGUUCUUGGUGAAACUUGAAGAUCUAAGAAAAGAGUGAUUUCUAUGGAUGAAAUCAUGGAAGGAUACUAGAUUAAGACAUAUAUCAACAAAUCUAGGAAGAAUACUUACAACUUUUAAAGAUCUAGGAAAAAAGUCUUGAUGAUACUUGAGAGGAUUUGAAGGAAAAAUCGUCCAAGCAAGGAAAGAAUGAGAAAAAUGGCCAAGUAUCAUCUAUAUUCCCUUGAGUUUACGGCCACAUGAGUUUACAGACGUAAACUCAUGGUCUUGUGGUCGUGAACUCAUUUUGAUGAGGUUAUGGUUUGAUUUGCUACAUUGUGGUUCUAGCAAGUACUUACUAACACUUAUUCCUUAAGUGUAUUAGGCUGAAAACUCCUUAGAAUGACCUUUAACCGGGCUAGAACCCAGUACUAAUGAGUUUGACACUGAGUUGAGUUGAUUGACUGAGCUCUAAAAGCAAAAAUUUUCCGGGUUGUCACAUGGCAAAAUGUGAAUAGGAAACUUUUGUCUUCAAUAAAGUGUGGUGCAUAAGAUCUUCACAGCAAAGCAUCUCAAUGUGGGAAAGCGUACGCCACAUUGUAAAGUUGAAAGAGUAGAAUUCCGUGAACUAUACUCCUGAUUGGAAAUGGAUCUCCAAAAUUGCACGUCAAGCAAUCUCGUGGUGAAGUCUCAAACACAACCCUAUAAAAAUAAGAUAAAAUGUGAUGAUUGUGUUUUUGCUUCUGUGUACAACCCCAUUUUCCAAGAAAACUCACGCAUGCAACAUUCUCGAUAGUCACCUCCCAAUCUAAAUGCAAGGGACCGGUUGAAUGUUGGUUCCAUCAUCCGUUCCUCAAAACUAAUUGUGGCAAAGAACUAAAUGGGCAACUCUCAAUAAAUUGGUUCUUGAAUGGAAUAUAAAUUACGCCACCCAUUACAUUGGAAAGUGAAUCCAUCUCCUACAAACAUCUUUGUAUAAUAUCGCACCAAUUAUGUUACCAUACCGACCCCACUCAACCAAUUCCAAUCAAUCACGGGUGCUAAUGCGAACUCCUGAUUAUAUAACCCAUCCCAGUAUAUUUGAAUAAUUAUUGUGCAUGGAUUGCGAAAUAUUUUGGGGGAAUCAAUAUAGAGGAUGUAUACUAGGAGCAUCAAUACGGUCUUGUUCUUUAGGAAUUACACGCCUUGGUCUCACGGUACUUGAAAAAUUAACAGCAAGAAAAAACUAGCAAAACCACCAAACAGUUAAGUAAUAAGCAAAAAGCAGAAAACUGAAAACCCAGUUUUCACGUCGUGGUCACGAAGACGACGUUGUGAUUUCGAUCUGAUAUGUAUAUUAUCGCCAAUCAUUUCCAGGCCAUAUGUAACUCAAAUCGAUGUUCAGGGUUUGUUUAUGCUGCUAUUGUAAAGCUUUUAAACAUACAUGCAUUAACGAUUCACUGGAAAAUCGACUUAAUUUUGCAAUUUUGCUUAAAGAACAAACACUAACUUCUAAUUACUGAAAAUCUAAGAAAAUUAAAGAUUAAGGAACUUAAAACACAUACCUUUGAUGAUAUUAAUGUAAUAGACACGUAGGAAAAACAAGACUUUCGGUCGAAAUUAAAGUGUAGGGGGGCAGUGCUUAGUUCAUGACGUAAUGUUGGAUAAGUGAGUGUUCAAACAGAUAACGACUGGUAUUCUGACUUAUUUCAUGACUUUGACCUCUUCACGCCGUGGGCUUGAGCUCACAUCGUGGGCCAUGUCUGGGCCGAAUUUUUAUGGACGGAUGCAUGUUGGGCUGACUUGUUAAUCCAUAUGGUCCAUAUAAACUAGUCUUUUUUCCUCUUAUUUAAUUUAUGAAAUCAUUAUCAUUUGUUAUAAAAAUAUGUUGUUCAUAAAAAUCUUUUUUCUUUUACGAUAAGGACCCUACACUCAAUUUUGAAAAUAUAUGGACAGUGACCAAGAAAAUUUAUCCUAAAAAUCCAAAGCCAAGAAAAGAAAUUUUAUCCUAAAAAUUAAUAUCAAAUAAAAGAAGAAAAGAAAUGAAAAUGUAAACCGAGCUCGAGUUACCUCCCGAGAAGCGUUUCUUUCUUUUUUAACGAUUCGUGUGUAUGACUCCAUAUGCCCUACGUGGUAUUGGUUGGGGGUAUGAUCUCCAUUUGCAGCUUUUGUUCCCUCCACCUUUUCUUUUACACUUGCACCCUUCUUAAAUAAGCUUUCUUAGAAUUUCCAUUCUUCAUUUUAGAAUCGCCUUCCUCGUGUUUCAUUUCACCCCUUUAUUCUUCACAAAAAGUUCAAGUUCUCCUUUUUCCUUUUGUAUCUCCUUAGCUUCAACAUCUUUAUUAUCUAGAGUUGGCUUGCUCAAGUCUUGUGUAAUUUCUUCUUCUUCAUCCUUACUUGAUACCAAACUUUCUUCACUCAUUAGGGACUUUGGAGUUUUAAAAGCAAAGACCUCAAAGAGCUUUGGAAUUUAAGCUCAAGGGUUAGUACACUUGGCUUGUUCUCUUGUUUAAAUUUCUUCUUCCAUCAAUUUAUCUAACUCCUCAAGCUCCUUUUCAUCAUCCAUAAAAAAUUCUACAUUUUGAUCACGAUCCUUCUUGAAUCCGUCUUCCACUCCAAAUGUCCUUUCAUCAUUUCCCACUCACAAUGUAAUCUUUGACUCGUGAAUAUCCACCCAGGCUCGCACGAUAUUAAGUAAAAGGCAUCCAAUGUUUAUUGGGACAUCUUUAUCCUCCUUCAUAUAUAGCACCACAAAAUCGAUUGGAAAAAUAAAUUUUGCUUUUAUUACCAAAAUGUAUUGAACUAUGUGUAACACUAGUCAAAAUAGGUCAAUAGACAAUCACAUGUGAUUAUGCCAAUCAUGUAAUGUGAUUAAGUUAACCUAGUAAUGUGGUAAGAAUGUUCUGUAGUUAAUGAUAAAUUCUAAUACAAAUAUGAACUUUCUUUAUGAUACAACUCAAAGUAUACGUCCAUACGAUUCCAAAAAUAUAGAGAACGUUUGAAUCUGACUUCGCAUGAAGAAGUUAUGAUAAUCGAACACUAUAAAUCUCUAUAAUAAGAGAAAUUUAAAAUAGACUUAGAACUAGCUAUUUAAGUCUAAACGAGAGUUGUAGUACUCGUAAAUACCUAUGCGUGCAUAUAAAGAAUGUCAAAAACGGAGUUCGUAUGCAAAAGUUAUGGCCUUCCGAAGAUUUAGUUUUUAAAAACCCUAAACUAGCUAAUUCACGACGUGAGUUUUAUGACACUCACGACGUGAUGAGUCAUUCUGUCAUAAUUCGGAAUCUGGAAGCUGCGAGAGGAUAGGAUCUAGAUUCACGACGUGAGUUUUAUGAAACUCACGACGUGAAGACACUCACGUCGUGAAGAGUCAUUCUGUCAUAAUUCGGAAUCUAGAAGCUGCGAGAGGAUAGAAUAAAAAAUUCACGACGUGAGCUUUAUGACACUCACGACGUGAGCUUUAUGACACUCACGACGUGAGGAGUCACAUGGCCACCUUCCGAAGCUAGGGACGCAAAUGGCAAGUCUACGGAGUGAAUCACGCUGACUCACGACGUGAGUCUUAUGACACUAAUGACGUGAGUGUCUUAAAAUCUUACUAUAAAUAGCAAGAUCGACCCCAGCCAUUCUGACACCAGCUCUUCUUUCUCCUCUCUCAUUUGCUGAAGCCCUCUUGCAUCUGGAGCCUCGACGAUCUCGCACGCUGAUCGUUUUGCUUAGAUAACAUAAAAUCACGCUACUAGGGUGAGUUUCAAGGCCCCACUUUUUAAUAUUUUGGGGGAAAACGCAUGCUAGUCAUUGUAUAUAUGUUAUUAUUAUAUUUAUAUGAUAGUAAAUUAGUAUCAACAUAGAUAGUUAUAAUAACCGGGAUAUAGUUAUUUCGUAUCUGAAAAUAUACAACUAUCAUAACGUUGUUAACAUGUUAUUGUUAUAAUAGUAUAUUAAUGUAGAUCUUGAGUUAUACGUAGGAUUCUAUAUAUAUUUUGUGUGCGAUAUAGUUACGAAGUUAUAUUCGGAAGUUUUAUAUGGUAAGUUAUAUAGUAUGUUGCAAUUAAUAGUUUUAUGUCAAGAUAAAACUAGAUAUGUUAUAUGUUGUUAUUAUUAUUUUUAAGUCAAGGUAAAACUAGAUAUGUUAUAUGUUUUUAUUAUUAGUUUUAUGUCAAGAUAAAACUAGAUAUGUUGUAUGUUGUUAUUAUUAGUUUUAUGUCAAGAUAAAACUAGAUAUGUUAUAUGUUGUUAUUAUUAGUUUUAUGUCAAGAUAAAACUGGAUAUGUUGUUAUUGUUAUUUAUAUGUCAAGAUAAAACUAGAAACGUUAUAUGUAGUUAUUAUUGGUUUUAUGUCAAGAUAAAACCUGGUUUUUACUUCAAGAUAUAGCUGUUAUACUGCCUAAAUAUUAUGAAGUUGGGAGUAAUGUUUAAAGGCAAAGUCUAGUAAAUUAAGGGUUUAGACAUGAAGAUGCUUGUGUUGUUAGCGCUAUAGGAAGCCGUCAAAGUCUACACGAGUAAUUAUAUUCAUCAACUAAGAUUGGGGAGCUUAGCGGAAAUCCUCUGAACUGUAAUCGUUAAUCCCGUGUGUGCGAGGAUGUCGUGUAUAAUUAGUAUACGGGCUGACCACCCCACUUGUGACUGUUAGCUACAGUCAACCAAAANAGUGAUGAACAAUCCUUUUAUUUGUUUUUAUUCCAGCGUCGAUGAAGCGUACGGUGUUGUUUCUCAUGUUAAAUCAUGAGUGUAUUUGUUCUCAUGGUAAAUCAUGAGUGUAUUGUUCUAUCAGAGGUAUUAUGUCAUAGCAGCGAUUAUUGGCUCAUGGUAGCAAAUUGUUAGAAACAUUAUACCUUGGCGUAUACAAGUAUUAAUGUUAAGUAUAAGUUUUCCCCUACUUAUACCUUAAGAUUAAGAAAUGUUUAGGUAUAACACUUAAUUGAUAAGUAUACAAUUAUACCUAAUGUUUGAGAGUCAAAAUGAUACUUUCAAAACAAUACUUUUGAAUGUGUAAAAAUGUAUUAUUUUAUGGAGUCAAAACCUAUGGACUCACCAACUUUAUGUUGACGUAUUUUAAAAUGCAUGUGUUUUCAGGAACUUGAAAAGCAGGUAUGUAUUCGAACAGGAAAAGUUUUACUAGUAUCUUUUUGUACUUUAUGAAGUAUGUCAUAGUCGGAUAUAAUGUAAUAAAUACUAGGAAAAACAAUAAUGUAACUUUCAACCAUCAAUAAAGUAUGUUAUAUAACUGUGAUACGAAAAAUGACGUUACACUACCUGGUGUUUCCGCCGACGGUCGGGGUGUGACAGAUUGGUAUCAGAGCUAUUAACUAUAGUGAACUAGUACUUUCUUAGGAAAGCACGUCUAUAGUUUAGGGCUUACUCUAUUAGGUUUAGGUAUAUCCAUUAGCCUAUAAAUAAAAAGCAUUAUUAUACUACUGAAGGACUACUUACGGGAGCGGUGACAAGGAUAGACAUGUCGAUUUGGGUUGCUGGAUUUCAAAACGGCUAUAUGCUAAAAUGAUCAUGCCCUUUCGACAGUCCUGAUUGGCCGGAGCCUUAUCAGAUAGACCGGAAGUAACAAACAAUAGUAAAAGCGUGAAUACAAUAAAUAAGAAUAUAGAGUCAUAUAUACAGACUCAGAACCGCGAUGAGAAUACACCUUAAUACCCGGAAUGUUUUUGAUCUCACAGAUUUAGAUCAAAUAUUCCAACUAAAGUUUAUAUGUGCAUAGAUCCUAUCACAACUAGGUGUAGGUGCGCAACUAUAUUUUAUUAUGAUCAGAUCAUAUGAACUAUUUAAUUUGGGAGAAAUAUUUGAUAGACUAAACUCUUGGAGAUCUAAAAUGUAUAAGAAUCUGACAUGCCACAUUCACGAGAAUGGAUAAUCAUCGAGGAUACGGAUGAAGAAGAGGAACUUUCAUUUCCUAUGAUGUUAGGCGAUCCUUACUAUCCUGUAACUCCAACCACCUUUCAUCCAAUACCUUAUGACGAUGGAGCAUCGUUACCCUCCAACGAAUGGGAAGAGAGUGAACCAAUGGAAGAAAGAGAAUCCAUGGACGAGACAGGGUCGGUGGCAUCAUCUCUACCACCACUGAACACUCUUUACCGUAAAGUUCCGGGAGCAAUAAAAAUGAAACGCACUGCACGAAAAUCUAUACCGAUAUGGUAAAAGCUUAAGAAGAGUCAGAAGGCAACAUCUUCAGGAAGUCAUAGAGUUCAAAAUGAACCUGCACGGAUCGCACAAACAGUUGAUAAAUGGGUGGCGGAAGAAAAAGCUGCCAAGAUGUAUGAGACUGGUUAGUCAUCUCGACCAUAUCUCCCACAUUCUUCUGAAGAUAACAGUUAAUCUCAAUUGUUUGAGAAAAGUGUGAAAAUUGAAGAUAAGAUGGAAAUUGUCAAAGGGAGGGUUACUCAUCUCUCUGGAAGAGUGCGAAGUCUAGAAGGACAAUGGACACGAGAUCAUGAAUCGGUGAUGGAUGUCCAUCAUCGUAUAAAUUUUGCUUAAAAUGACAUGAUUACUCACGAUGCCAGGAUUGCAGAGUUAGAGCUCUACAAUCAAACCUCAAGAAAUGAAGAACGCACGCGAAGUCUUGAGCAGAGAACUCAAGCACUUGAAGAGCAAGUGGUUAAUGUCACUGACGUGCUGGGUCAUCACUUAGGUUUUUGGUAGAUAAGCUACAACUAGUGGUUAUGUAAAUAGAGAAAAUCAGACUAGUUAAGGCGAAAAGAGAAAAGUUUAUAGCAAGGAUGUAGAAAACCUUUCAAAUUUUGCAAUGUUUAUAGAAACUUUUCUCUUAUAAACCUAAAUAAACUGAUGUAACCACUGGUAAUAAUAUGAAGCAUAUGUUAUAGUAAUCAUUAUGUUGUCUAUUAUGUUUUACGAUGUGAAUAAUAACUAGAGUAUUUAGUACUCAUAUAUUAAAUGAACAAAAAAAACUCAUAAGAAUUAUUAUUAUUUAUAAUAGGAACUAAAAAAAAUGCCUAGAAGGAGUAAUCGGCUAAACCCUAACCGAUCAUCAACACCACAACAACAACAACCACAACCACCACCAGCAAUAAACCCCUCGAUAAGUACAGUGCAACUUGAAGAAAUCAUAGCUCAAAUUGAUGUAACUCUAUCUAAUGUCACAAGAGAUGGAGUUAGAAAUGAAUGCCAUGUAGGGACCGCUAGAACAUGUACCUACAAAGAUUUUAUGAAUUGUAGGCCAAAAAUCUUUCAUGGAAAUGAUGGGGUAGUGAAUUUGACAAGGUGGAUAGAAAAGACAGAAUCCGUCUUUCAAAUAAGAUUUUGUCCAAAUGAUUGUAAAGUAUGAUUUGCAGCAUGUACUUUCGCUGACACAACACUUACAUGGUGGAAUAUCCAUGUGAAUACAAUGGGAAUUGAUACUGCAAAUUUCAUGAAAUGAGAGGAGCUAAAAAUGAUGCUAGUGGAGGAGUAUUGUCCUACGGAGGAAAUACAUAAAUUGGAACAAGAACUGUGGACCCUAACCAUGAAGGGUUCAGAGAUAAAAGCUUAUACCGCUAGAUUUAAUGAUCUUGCUGUAAUGUGUCCAGCACUUGUGACCCCUGAAUAUAAAAAGAUUGAGCGAUAUAUAUGGGGUUUAGCAUCGCAAAUCAAAGGCAUGGUGAUCGCAUCAAAGCCUACGACUUAUGACAGCACCAAGAGGAUAGCUCAUCAGCUAACCCUCACAGAGAUCCAAGGAACAGAAGUGGUCUCAAAGACUGAGUCUCCCAAAGCUAGAACAAACAAGCACGAGUUUAAUAAGAAGAAUCCCAAACAAUCAUCUGAGAAAAGACAAGAAGUGGCAACCAACUACGCAGCCACAACAGCAGUACCUACUCAACCAAAGUCUGCAUGGCGCAACCACCGCAACCGUCAUCACCCAGGUGACUGUUUUGUUUGCAUGAAAUGCAAAAAGAAGGGGCACACUACUAGUUACUGCAAGAUCACAACAUAUGCAACAGUCAAUCAACAAACAAAUACUGGAACAGGUCGUGGUGAAGAAAGAAAGUGUUAUGAGUAUGGAGAAGUUGGACAUAUCAAGAAAGAAUGUCCAAAGUUAAGGAGUCAAGGAGGCAUAGGAUGUGGCAGGGCAUUUGUGAUCGGAAGCGGAGAGGCUAUCCAGGACCCUCAGUUGUAUCUGGUACGUUUAUCAUAGAUAAUUCAUACGCUAGCAUACUCUUCGACUCUGGAGCAGAUCGAAGUUUUAUAACUCCAACAUUUAGAAAAUUGUUAAGUCAUAAGUCUAGCAAAUUAAAAGAAAUCUACGAAUUAGAAAUCGCUAAUGGACAAUUUGAGAAAACUUAUGAAAUCCUAGAAAAUUGUCUGUUGACUCUUAAUAACUAACUUUUUCACGUCAACCUCAUGCCAAUGCCUAUCGGUAGUUUUGAUCUCAUAAUUGGCAUGGAUGGUUAUCUUCAUACCGCGCCAAAAUUCUAUGUCAUGAGAAAGCCAUACGACUACCCUUAACAAACGGCGAAGCCCUGAUUAUCUAUGGUGAUAAGUUUGGAAAAAACCUCAAAGUCAUUUCUUGUACCAAGACACAGAAAUAUCUACAUAAGAAAUGUAGCGCAUUCUUAUCCCACAUUGUAGAUAAGAGAAGAAAGAUAAAAGAAAUCAAGGACGUACCUCAAGUAUGUGAUUUCCCUGACGUAUUUCCUGAAGAUCUACCUGGAAUACCUCCCGUCCGACAAGUCGAGUUUCGAAUCGACCUAAUUCCAGGAGCAGCACCAGUAGCGAAAUCUCAUUAUCGGUUGGCUCCAUCUGAAAUGCAAGAAUUAUCUAGUCAACUACAAGAACUUCUUGACAAAGGCUUUAUCCGACCAAGUUUUUCACCUUGGGGAACACCAAUCUUGUUUGUCAAGAAGGAGGAUAGAUCAUUUCGAAUGUGUAUUGAUUAUCGGGAGCUGAACAAGCUAACGAUCAAGAAUCGUUAUCCACUUCCAAGAAUUGAUGAUUUAUUCGAUCAACUGCAAGGAUCUAGCUACUACUCAAAGAUAGAUCUUAGAUUAGGAUACCAUCAACUCAGAGUACAAGAAGACGACAUUCGAAAAAUAGCAUUUAGAACUCGUUAUGGUCAUUAUGAUUUCUUAGGUAUGUCUUUUGGAUUGACCAACGCCCCAGCAGUGUUUAUGGAUCUCAUGAAUCGUGUUUGCAAACCAUACUUCGAUAAAUUCGUGAUCAUAUUUAUCGAUGAUAUAUUGAUAUAUUCACGAACCAAGGAAGAACAUGGUCAACACCUGCAAAUAAUCUUGGAACUACUAAGAAAAGAAAAGUUGUACGCUAAAUUCUCCAAAUGUGAGUUUUGGAUUAGAGAAGUACAAUUUUUAGGUCAUGUAGUUAGCAACGAAGGAAUUCAUGUUGACCCAUCCAAAGUUGAAGUAAUCAGGAAUUGGGAAGCACCAAAGACGCCAACAGAGGUGUGUCAAUUCCUAAGACUUGCUGGCUGUUACCACAGAUUCAUAGAGAAUUUCUCCAAAAUAGCCAAGCUGCUUACAACACUAACCCAGAAGGAUACAAACUUCAACUGUGAAGACAAACAAGAAGCUGCUUUUCAGAAACUAAAGCAAAUGUUGUGUAGUGCACCAAUCCUAUCCCUUCCAUAGGGGACAAAAGAUUUCGGUGUAUACUGCGAAGCAUCAAAUCAAGGAUUGGGGUGUGUGUUGAUGCAAAGAGGAAAAGUUAUCACCUAUGCAUCACGACAACUUAAGGUGCAUGAGAAUAAUUACACUACCCAUGAUCUUGAAUUGGGAGCUAUAGUUUUUGCACUAAAAAUCUCGAGACAUUACCUAUAUGGUACUAAGUGUACUAUGUUUACCAACCACAAGAGUCUCCAGCACAUCUUCGACCAAAAAGAUCUUAAUAUGAGACAACGAAGAUGGGUCGAAUUGUUGAAUGAUUAUGAAUGUGAGAUUCGUUAUCAUCUCAGAAAGGAAAACGUGGUAGCAGAUGCCUUGAGCCGGAAAGAAUAUAUUAAACCCCGACAGGUACGAGCGUUAACCAUAACUAUCCACUCUAACCUUGCCGCACAAAUUAGAGAAGCUCAACUUGAGGCUCUAAAAGAAGAUAACAUCAAGAAUGAAGCCUUGCGAGGAAUGGAAAAGCAACUUAUACAAAAAGAUGACGGAACCCAUCACUUUAUGAACCGAAUUUGGACACCUAAGUUCGGUGGAGUCACGGACUUGGUCUUAGAAGAGGCCCACAAGUCCAGAUGUUCCGUACAUCCAGGCUCUGACAAAAUGUACUUAGACAUAAAAGUACAUUAUUGGUGGCCAAACAUGAAGGCAGACAUUGCUACUUAUGUGAGCAAAUGUUUGACUUGUUCUAGAGUAAAGGAAGAACAUCAAAAGCCUUCAGGCUUACUUCAACAACCGGAAAUACCUGAAUGGAAAUGGGAGCAGAUUUCAAUGGACUUCAUCACUAAGUUACCCAAAACUCCUAGCGGGUUCGACACUAUUUGGGUAAUAGUCGAUAGAUUGACUAAAUCUGCCCAUUUCUUACCAAUUAAGGAGAAUGACAAGAUGGAGAAGCUGACUAGAGUUUAUCUUAAGGAAAUUGUUAGAUUGCAUGGAGUUCCAAGUUCUAUUAUUUCUGACCGAGAUAGUAGAUUCACUUCAUGAUUUUGGCAAUCUCUACAAAAAUCCUUAGGAACACGUCUAGACAUGAGUACAGCUUACCAUCCACAGACUGAUGGUCAGAGUGAGAGAACCACUCAGACUUUAGAAGAUAUGCUCCGAGCCUGUGUAACAUACUUUGGAAAUGCAUGGGAUACUCAUUUACCAUUAAUUGAUUUUUCCUACAACAAUAGUCAUCACAUCAGCAUCAAGGCCGCACCGUUUGAGGCUCUUUAUGGACGAAAAUGUCGUUCCCCAAUAUGUUGGGCAGAAGUUGGAGAUACGCAGAUGGCCAGAGCACAUACAGGCGAUACCUUACGUACUGGACCAGAAAUAAUCCAUUAGACAACUGAAAAGAUCGUGCAAGUUUAGGAUUGAUUAAAGGUUGCACGUGAUCGUCAAAAGACUUAUGCUGACGUAAGACGUAAGCCUUUAGAAUUCCAAGUUGGAGAUAAAGUAAUGUUGAAGGUCUCUCCUUGGAAAGGUGUAAUUCGAUUCGGUAAUCGAGGCAAACAAAACCCACGGUAUAUAGGACCUUUUGAAAUUCUAGCUAGAAUUGGUUCUGUCGCAUACCAACUCAAGUUGUCUCAAGAGCUAAGUAUUGUACACGAUGUUUUUCAUGUAUCAAAUCUAAAAAUAUGUCUAUCCGAUGACACUCUUGUGGUACCUAUCGACGAGAUACAAGUCAAUACCAAACUCAAAUUUGUAGAAGAACCUGUCGAGAUCAUGGAUCGAGAAGUCAAAAGAUUAAAGCAAAGUCAUAUUCCCAUAGUGAAUGUUUGAUGGAACUCUUUGCGAGGACCCGAAUUUACUUGGGAAUGUGAAGAUCAGAUGAAAGAAAAAUACCCCCAACUGUUUGACAAAACCCUAACCACAAGAUAAAUUUCGGGACGAAAUUCUUCUAACGGGGGGAGAAUGUAACACUAGUCAAAAUAGGUCAAUAAACAAUCACAUGUGAUUAUGCCAAUCAUGUAAUGUGAUUAUGUUUACCUAGUAAUGUGGUAAGAAUGUUAUGUAGUUAACGAUAAAUUCUAAUACAAAUAUGAACUUUCUUUAUGAUACAACUCAAAGUAUACGUCCAUACUAUUCAAAAAAUAUAGAGAACGUCUGAAUCUGACUUCGCAUGAAGAAGUUAUGAUAAUCGAACACUAUAAAUCUCUAUAAUAACAGAAAUUUAAAAUAGACUUAGAACUAGCUCUUUUAAGUCUAAACGAGAGUUGUAGUACUCAUAAAUACCUACGCGUGUAUAUAAAGAAUGUCAAAAACGGAGUUCGUAUGCAAAAGUUAUGGCCUUCCGAAGAUUUAGUUUUUAAAAACCCUAAACUAGCUAAUUCACGACGUGAGUUUUAUGACACUCACGACGUCAAGAGUCAUUCUGUCAUAAUUCGGAAUCUGGAAGCUGCGAGAGGAUAGGAUCCAAAAUUCACGACAUGAGCUUUAUGACACUCACGACGUGAGGAGUCAUUCUGUCAUAAUUCGGAAUCUAAAAGCCGCGAGAGGAUAGGAUCCAAAAUUCACGACAUGAGCUUUAUGAUACUCACGACGUGAGGAGUCACAUGGCCGCCUUCCGAAGCUAGGGACGCAAAUGGCAAGUCUACAGGGUGAAUCAGGCAGACUCAUGACGUGAGUCUUAUGACACUCACGACGUGAGUGUCUUAAAAUCUUACUAUAAAUAGCAAGAUCGACCCCAACUAUUCUUACACCUGAUCUCCUUUCUCCUCUCUCAUUUACUGAAGCCCUCUUGCAUCUCGAGCCUCGACGAUCUCGCAUCGCACGCUGACAGUUUUGCUUAGAUAAGAUAAAAUCACGCUACUAGGGUGAAUUUCACGGCCCCACUUUCUAAUAUUUCGGGGGAAAAUGCAUGCUAGUCAUUGUAUAUAUGUUAUUAUGUCCAUAUGAUAGUAAAUUAGUAUCAACAUAGAUAGUGAUAAUAACCCGGAUAUAGUUAUUUCUUAUCUGAAACUAUACAACUAUCAUAACGUUGUUAACAUGUUAUUGUUAUAAUAGUAUAUUAAUGUAGAUCUUGAGUUAUACUUAGGAUUCUAUAUAUAUUUUGUGUGCACUAUAGUUCCGAAGUUAUAUUCAAAAGUUUUAUAUGUUAAGUUAUAUAGUAUGUUGCAAUUAAUAGCUUUAUGUCAAGAUAAAACUAGAUAUGUUAUAUGUUGUUAUUAUUAGUUUUAUGUCAAGAUAAAACUAGAUAUGUUAUAUGUUGUUAUUAUUAGUUUUAUGUCAAGAUAAAACUAGAUAUGUUAUAUGCUGUUAUUAUUAGUUUUAUGUCAAGAUAAAACUGGCUAUGUUGUUAUUGUUAUUUAUAUGUCAAGAUAAAACUAGAAACGAUAUAUGUUGUUAUUAUUGGUUUUAGUUCAAGAUAAAACCUGGUUUUGACUUCAAGAUAUAUCUGUUAUACUGCCUAAAUAUUAUGAAGCUAGGAGUAAUGUUUAAAAGCAAAGUCUAGUAACUUAAGGUUUUAGACAUGAAGAUGCUUUUGUUGUUAGCGCUAUAGGAAGCCGUCAAAGCAGACCUGGCAAUGGGGCGGGUUUGGAGCGAAUCAACCUUGAUCCAAACCCUUUUAACAAAUUUCGAAAUCCGAUCCAAACCCGAUCCGUAACCCGCAAGGUUUUGAAUAAUCAAACCCAUACCCUUGUCCACCGAAUCAACAAAUAUCCAAACCCGCCCCGUAACUCAUAGGUUUUUUGAAUAAUCAGACAUCUUUUACUUAAAUCAUAAAAUCACAUUUGUUAAAUAAAACUAAGUUUUGAUUUAGAAAACACAUUAUGUACUCGAGGACUUUCUAUUGGAAUUAAAAUCAUUAUUUUAGUUACUUCCGAUUGGUUUUUGACCGUCGAUUGCAUUGAUAGAGAAUAGCAAUUACAAACUUUCUUCCGAUUGAUAAAUGAACUUAUUUAUUUAUAAAUGAAAUUGGUGAUUACAUGAUGAAAUAUAAAUGAAAUGAAAUCAUGACUCUUGGGAGAAGACUGGAAGUCUAGAAGUUGAUUCCUCGAGUCCUAUGUAAAAACAUUUUAGUCUUUGGCCUUUUCUCUUUGGACUUCCGAUUGGAAUUUAAUGUAAACUUUAGGCAAUAUAAAAUAUAAAUGUAUAAUUCUAAAAUUUAUAUGGGGCGGGUUAUAAACGGAUCGGAUCGGUGAUGAUCCAUACCCGACCCUUUUAAUAAAAGGGUUAGCGGGUGUGGGUUGUUAAUGGGUAAACGGAUCAAAAACUAUGCUCCAAACCCGUAUAACUGUUAACGGUUUGGAUCGGAUCAGGGUCAAAAUCCGCUCCAUUGCCAGGCCUACGUCAAAGUCUACAUGAGUAAUUGUAUUCAUCAACUACGAUUGGGGAUUGUUGGGUAGCAGAUUCAUUUAUGUAUUGCGUCAUUGGGCUCGGUUAAUAGUCCAAUAUUUUGAUCUCCGGUUUGGGCCUGUCCAACCGUGAGUUGUAGGGUUUAGUAUAUAAUAAUGUGUUUGCAUGCAUAUUAGGUUAACGAUCUAGAAGACAAUAGCAUAACGAUAACAUUACAGAUUUCUUUCUUUAUCGUUCUUGUAAACCCUUUAAUCCUCUACAGUAGAAGUUCUUUAUCGAGCUCUUCUGCGGAUUGUUUUAUAAUCAUUCGACACGUUUGAUUCAUUCGAGUGUUCUUGCUGUUUACUUAUUUAUUUCUUUACCUGUUUUAUAGAUCUAAUCGAUCUUCAAGUUUAGAUUUAAACUUAUCAAUUGGUAUUAGAGCAGGAGGCUGUGUAAUCGAUACACUUCUUUUCUGUGAAAAAGGUUUCGAUUAGGGUUAUUCCGCAAUUACUGAUAUUUAUUGAGCCGUCAUCUCAUUAUUGACGUAUCUCGAUAUUUAUUGUUUUGCCCUAAUUUGAUUUAUUACAAGUCUGAUCUUUGAACAGUUUAUUCGAUCAUUAUGGACGAGUCGCAAUCGAAUCCCAUCAAUAUUUCGAACAGCAUUGGAUCAACGACGAAGAUUCCCUUCCUGUACACCCAUGAUUAUGAAGUCUGGGCGCAUCACUUUGAAGAUUAUGUUAUAGGAUCUGAGGAUAAUGGAUACCUCAUCUGGGAAGCUAUUGUUUCUGGACCGUUUUCUCAUUCUGCAACUUCAAGGAUUAUUAAAACUCAAAAGGAGUAUAAUGAUCUUCUGAAAGAUGUUAAAGAUAUUGCACAAGAUGAAAAGGAUAAAUUUCAGUGCAAUAUCAAGGCGUUAAGACUGAUCAGAUUCGCCCUUCAGUCUGAUACUUUUAGACUGGUGAGUUCAUGCACGACGGAAAAGGAGAUUUGGGACAGGCUACAUGAAUUUUACUCUACAGAUGAGGAUCUUGAACACUCCAUUCAAACAUUACUCUUGUCUGAGUUUGGUGAAUUCAGGCAAGGAGCCGAAGAAACUGUGACCUAAACGUUCGAUCGCUUCAAUCAUCUUCUUAGCAAGAUGAUCAAACAUGACAUCGAAAGGAAGCUUAUUGAGCAGAAGGUUACGUUCUUAAAUGGUCUCAGAUCCGAGUGGAGAGCUGUUGUGUCCACAGUUAAAGCCCACGAGCAAUUUAAAUCCUACUCUUUUGCGAAACUGGUGGGCAUUCUCAAAUCUCAGGAGAAGAUCGUGUUGCAGGAGAAGAAUGUGGUUUCAAGCCUAGGUUCGUUGGCCCUCCUGUCCAAAAGUAAAGUUGUGAUGGAGGACGGAGACCUCAACUUGGAAGAUUAUGACCUCACGUCUGAGGAUUAUGCUAUGAUGGUGUCUAACCCCAAGAGGUUCAUCAAGAAGAGAUUUCCCUCCAACAAAAACCGAAACUGGCAGGGGAGUUAUAGUUCUGAAAAGGUUAAAGAUGAACCGAAGGCUGAAGAGUCUAAGAAGGAACCGAAGGUUGAAGGUGAUUCUGGAGUAAGCUGCUACUAUUGUGGGGGAAAGAACCACUAUGCAAAGGAUUGUGUCCUUAAAAAGAUGGCUGAAAAGGAUGAGGAAGCUUUGCUGCAAAAAAGCUUGUUGAGAUCAGGAAGAAGAAAUCUACCGCUAACCCUUCUAUGAAUGCUCUAAUUGUGCAGGGUUCGGUUGCUGAUGAUGAGUUCGAUGGCGUGGAGGUUUGAUCAAUCGACUCUGAAGAUGAUGAAGUCAGGAAGCCUUCUCAUGGAAAGGCUUAUGUGGCUAAAGAAGAAAGCAGUGGAGGAAGAUGCUUGAUGGUGUCUGACGUAUCUCACAUGAGGGGAUACAACACUGAUGGUGGGGAUAAUGAACCGAAGGAGCAACAGGAUAUGUGCUUUAUAGCCAAACCGCUCAGCGUGCAGUUCAACGAGCUCGAUGAACUGAUUAAGAAGGUACAAUCGGUUUUUGACUCAUUUAAAGUCCCACAAUGCUCAUAUGAAAAAGAACUAAAAAGUGUUAAUUCAAGAAUCUCUCAUCUAGAUAGUAGUUUAACUCAAACUCGAGUCACCAAUUCUAACCUAACUGACCAAUUAAGCAGGGUGUCUUCGAAGAGUGAGGAACGGCGGAUGUGGAUCGAACUGAAGGAAUCGGAGUUAAUCAAAACAAAAGAUGAAAACAUUUAUUUGCAAAGAGACAAUUUAAAGCUUUUAAAACAGCGAAAUGUUUUUUGUUUGAUUGCUAAACGUCUUUACACUAAUAUUACUCAGCUUCAUUUGGAUUGUGAAAUAGGACAAAAGAUUCAUCGCAUGAUUUUGCCCUUCCUUGAGUUUAAGGAGGAUGAAAUUGAUGCUGAAGCGUAUAAUUGUGAGAGUGUGAUAUCAUCUGAUGACGUCAAUCCGACCUAUAUGUAUGGACUGGACAAAAUAGAAUCUUUCAUUAAAUCCAAGGACCAUAAGGACAUGCUUAAAAACCUUUUGGAUGAAAAUGAUAGACUGAAACUGAGAACCGAAACCAUACAAAAAUUUGACUCUUUAAACGCCAACUUGAGCUCAGAAAACAAAAUUGAUGUUGAAAAUGCAUCUGAGCUUAAUGAGGAUGACAAUAUGAGUGAAAUUUCUGUAGAGGACACAGUUGACUGCUCAGAAUUUGUAAAAAGCGAACCUGAAAACCACAAGAAUCUUAUUUCAGAAAAUUCAGUGGAAUUCGCUCGUUUGUCCCAACAAAAGUCCCUGAUUCUUGCAGAGAAGGCCGUAGUAUAUCAAAAGGUUGGAACUACUCCAAAUCAGGUAUACAAGGUCACAGGCGUAACUGAACAUCAGACUGCUGAACUCACAGCUAUUAUAAACGAAGACAAUGCAGAUGGAUGCGAUGAGUUCUUCUGGUCAGCUCCAAUCGAUAAUGCUGAUGAAACAGUAGGUUUGUCUGAAAGGACCUCAUGGAAAAGCAAAGGCAUAUACGUACCAGAACCCUUGAAUAGGCCUGAUAACUUUGAUGUGCCAAGUACUAUAGGAACGAAAGACAUUCCUCAAGAAAAAGGAAGCCCAGCAAAAGAAGUCACAUCUUCAAGCCAACAUCCAUCAUCAACUGAAAGCCAAAGUGAACCAGCUGUAGAAAAACCAAAAACGAAAGCUAACAUCCAUUCAAAGUGAACCAGCUGUAGAAAAACCAAAAACGAAAGCUAACAUCCUUUAUCAACCGAAGCAGAUGAGAAAUCAAAAACGUCAAAGGAAUCAGAGAUAUAGGAAGAAUCUCUUUGAAAGAAAACAGUUCUGGCAAUCCCAGAAUGCUUAUUUCUCACAUCAAGACAAGAACCUAAAGUCUGAGAUAAAUCCUGUUGAAUCGCAAGAGAAUUGCAACAACCGAAAGCAGAGGUUCGGUUCGGAGAAAAACAUCAACCGAAAGCAAAGGUUCGGUUCUGAAAAUGACUCUAACCGAAAGCAGAAGUUCGGUUCAGAGAACGAAACCAACCGAAAGCAAAGGUUCGGUUCUGAAAUCAAAAGAGAUCAAAACUCUAAGGUUGGUCCCACCAAUGAUCAAAAGCAAAAGGGUCACCUAGAGUCUCCAGCCAAGAAGUCAUCUCAAUCUAAGCCCUCUCAUUCUCACUCAUCUAAUUCUUCUAAUUCUUCCAAUUCCUCUCCACCUCGUUCUAAAUUCCAUUCUGUUCCUUCUCAAAAAUCUCAAUCUUCAGCUGAACAAAAAGGGAAAUAGAAGGUUUCGGUGUCUAAACCUGAGUCAAAACCGAAAACACCAAACCCUAAUAAAAUUAAAGUUUUUACCAUCAAAAAGAAAGAUGAAACAACACUAAUAAAACGAACAUAUUUAGUUGACAUCUCUCUUACAAUUCAUGUUCCUGUGAAAGGCUCACGUGUACCCAAGAAACUUUGGGUUCCUAAAUCUGCUUAAUUUUUGCAGGUUAUCAGUGACGAGCAGUUUGACGAAGAAUGGUACAUUGACAGUGGCUACUUGUGUCACAUGAUAGGAAGGAAGGAAGAGCUGAGGGAAUUUUGGUCUCUUUUAAACGGUGGAAAUGUCAAGUUCGAGAACAACUCAUUCGGCACUAUAAAAGGCUAUGGAAUGAUAACAAAUGGUGAUUUUACGAUUAGUAAGGUCGCAUACGUUGAAGGACUACAGCACAACCUCAUCAGUGUAUCUCAGCUUGUUGGAGGUACCGGUCUCAAAGUCUCAUUCGACGAUGAGGGUUCUGAAAUUAUUGAGAAGAAGACAAAGAAAGUUAUUCUCAAAUCGGAGCGUAAGGGUGAAAUGUUUCCUCUAAACCUCAAACCCAUCAAAGGAAACCCAGCUAUAUGCCUGUUAUCAAAAGCACAAUCUGACGAAAGCUGGUUGUGGCACCGAAGACUCUCUCAUCUCAACUUUAAAGAUAUCAACAAACUUGUCACUGGAGGUCAUGUUCGAGGUCUUCCAUUGCUCAAGUACGAUAGAGAUCAUUUGUGUGCUGCAUGUGAAAUGGGGAAGCAGAGUCGUCAAAGUCAUCCAUCUAUAAUAAACACUAAAGUUGUUGAACCACUAGAAUUACUUCAUAUUGAUUUGUGUGGUCCAUCAUCUAUCGAAAGCAUCGGUGGUAGCAAGUAUAUUCUUGUUAUUGUUGAUGACUUUUCGCGUUUUACAUGGGUGUUCUUUCUGAAGCUUAAAUCUGAAGCGACUCAUAAGCUGAAAGUGUUCAUCAAGCAGAUUGAAGUACAGCUGAAGAAGGUCGUUCGCAACAUCAGGAGCGACAAUGGUCUGGAAUUCAAAAAUAGAGAAUUCGAAGAAUUCCUGGCAGAAAAGGGAAUAAGUCACAACUUCUCAGCUCCCUACACACCUCAACAGAACGGAAUUGUCGAAAGACGAAACCGAUCUUUGUGUGAAGCUGCCUGAACCAUGCUAAGUUUCGCUUCCUUACCUCUUUAUUUUUGGGCUGAUGUUAUUUCUGCUGCUUGUUUUACACAGAACAGGUCUUAUCUCAACAAGUGAUUCACGCUCACUCCUUAUGAGAUUCUCAAUAACAGGAAGCCCAAUGUGAAAUUUUUCCAUGUGUUCGGUUCACGGUGUUUCAUCUUUAAUUCUAAAGAACACCGCAACAAGUUCGAUGUCAAAGCCGACGAAGGAAUAUUUCUGGGCUAUUCUCUCACUUCCAAAGCGUACAGGGUAUUAAACAAGCGUUCGAGGAAAAUCGAAGAGACUUAUUACGUGACUUUCGAUGAUAGCUAUGUCAAAAAGGUACAGGCCAAAGAAGACACAGCUGGGGAAAUCUAUCCUCAAACUGGCCAAGUCACAGUCUCAAUCGCUAAUCUAUUCGAGAAGUUUAUGGAGCUAUUUGACGAACCAGAGAAAGCCACUCUCUCAUAAGCAGGUGCAGCAGACAAUAAGGUAGAUCACAAUGAAACAAAUUGUUGAAGAUGCUGCAAGGAGAAUGAAUGAAGGAGGAUCAAGUUCUGAUGAACCUCCACCACAUAAUGCUUUAGUCGAGGGGGAGGAUCAACCAUCGUCAACUCAGCCGACCUCACAUGUUGAGGGGGAGCCAAGGUCUCCAACUGCUCCCGAAAGCACUUCACCAACCGAAAGUGCUUCACCAUCCGAAGGUGCAUCAACGCCCGUAAGCUCAACACCAAAAGAAACCUCUGAAGGUCAAGAUUCGCAACGUAUUCCUGAAAGCUCAUCUAUCGAGGGGGAGCAAGCUGAUAUGUCAUACGACUAUGAAAGCUAGUCCGAACCAGAAGAAAUGAUAAAUGCUGAACUGGAUCCAACCUUUGAUCCAAACUAUCCUCCUCUCACCAAAUGGACUAGAGAUCAUCCUGUCUCUCAAGUUGUUGGUGAUGUCUCUGAAAAGGUUCUGACCCGAUCACAACUCAAGGCAAAACAGACAUCCUUAUUUUCCAAAGUUGAAUUCUGCAUGUUUAACUCAUUCGUAUCAAAAGUUGAACCGAAGACAGUUAAUACUGCUCUUGAUCACUCCGAUUGGGUUCAAGCCAUGCAAGAUGAACUGAACGAAUUCGAGAGGAACAAAGUCUGGCGCCUCAUUCCAACUCCUCCAGAUGCCUCAGUUGUUGCUCUCAAAUGGGUCUUUAGGAACAAAAUGGACAAGGAAGGGAACGUUAUAAGGAACAAAGCUCGUCUGGUAGUGAAAGGAUAUUGUCAGGAGGAAGGGAUUGAUUAUGAAGAGACUUUCGUUCCUGUAGCUAGGCUGGAAUCUGUAAGAAUAUUUCUAGCUUAUGCUGCCCACAAAAACUUUGAGGUUUUCCAAAUGGACGUCAAGUGUGCAUUUCUCAAUGGAGAACUCGAAGAAACUGUGUAUGUGGAGCAACCUCCUGGAUUCGUGAACGAAAAGUAUCCAAAUCAUUGCUACAUUCUGCAUAAAGCUGUGUAUAGACUGAAACAAGCUCUGAGAACCUGGUAUGAAACGCUGACUAAAUUUUUAAAGAUGUCCAAAUUCAAGCAAGGUUCGGUUGACCCAACCUUAUUUCGCAAGAAGGAAGGUAACCACCUUAUGAUCGUUCAAAUU